rnacentral:RNase_P_RNA from 1 species
ACGAUGAACCAGACCGCCGCCCGGUGGUGGAAUUUUGUUUCACGGCCGGGAGGAAAGUCCGGGCUCCGCAGGGUAUGAUGCCGGGUAAUGCCCGGGCAGAGAGCCGUAAUCGGAGGCUGUUCCGAAGAUAUUCGGCUUUUUGACAGACAGCGCAACAGAAAGUAUACCGCCCGUAACAUCGGCGCCUGGCGCCGCUCGAGCGGGUAAGGGUGAAACGGCGGGGUAAGAGCCCACCACGGCGGUGGCAACAUCGCCGGCACGGCAAGCCUCAUCAGGAGCAAAGUCAAGCAGCGUGGUGAAUGUAUUCGUCGCGAAUAUAUUCGCGGAGAGUUUGGCCUCGCGGUCAAACUCCACACACCGGCGGCCCGCCGGUUAAACGCGGGUAGACUGCAUAGAGAGCGGCCGCAAGGCCGGUCCCAGACAGAUGGCGGUCAAACACCGAACCCGGCUUAUGGUUCAUCGUUUUU